UACGGAGGGGGCAAGCGUUACUCGGAAUUAUUGGGCGUAAAGGGCGCGUAGGCGGUCGUGCGCGUCGGAGGUGAAAUCCCCGGGCUUAACCUGGGAACUGCAUUGGUGACUGGCAGGCUUUGAGUGUGGCAGAGGGGGGUGGAAUGCCGCGUGUAGCAGUGAAAUGCGUAGAGAUGCGGCGGAACACCGAUGGCGAAGGCAGCCCCCUGGGCUGAGAUUGACGCUCAGGCACGAAAGCGUGGGGAGCAAACAGG
rnacentral:rRNA from 1 species